rnacentral:rRNA from 1 species
AUGCCGCGAUCAAAUGAAAUCUUACCUGGCCUACUAGCUGCGAAAGCUAUUGCAGCACGCCAUCAGAUCCGUGAGGUCAUUGAUGGCGUAGCACAGUUUGUGACCGAAGUCGGGCUUCGGCAAUGUGCCAUUCGAGAAUACAACGCCCAUCACAUCACCGGCGACGAAUCUGGUUACUGGAUGGCUGAGCUUGAGUGGGCGUACCGAGAAAUGGUGCCCGUGUAUGCAUCUGUUCAAGGAAUGUUCCUUGUGCGUGAUCCUCAGUUUGCAGCUGUGCUGGGAAACGAGCAGGAAAUACAGUUGAGAAACAUUCUGAUAGAUGCCAGGAAUACAGUUCACUCGAUCAACCGUUUGUUCGUGGUGAUGGGGAGCAGCGCAUCAUUGUUUGAGUAUAUUGUGAAUAAUUGCUCGCUUUUGGAUCCAGUAGCUCAUCAGGAGGCAGAAACCGUAUUAAGCGAGGCCACUAAUAUCGGUCGCCUCAUACAAGCUUUUGCAGGCCAUCUCCAGUUCCAUUUGGAGGUUAUUGCAAAUAUCUGCAAUGAGGGCAUGUUGGUUCCACCCUUGCACCAGGACUAG